AACACUGUUGUUUUUUAUUGGUCGUCAUGAAAAAAAACACAAGGGAUAACACUGUUGUUUCUUAAAGGUCGUCAUGAAAAAAACAAAAGGGGAAAUGCUGUCGAUAUUUAUCAAAUAAAACAUAAGGGGUAACACUGUUGUUUUUCUUUGGUCGUCAUGAAAAAAAACACAAGGGGGGUAACACUGUCGUUUUUUAUUGGUCGUCAUGAAAAAAAACAUAAGGGGCAACACUGUCGAUUUUUAUUGGUCGUCAUGAAAAAAAACAUAAGGUAACACUGUCGUUUUUUAUUGGUCAUCAUGAAAAAAAACAUAAGGGGUAACACUGUCGAUAUUUAUUGGUCGUCAUGAAUAAAAACAUAAGGGGAAAAACUGUUGUUUUUCUUUGGUCGUCAUGAAAAAAAACAUAAGGGGUAACACUGUUGUUUUUUUAUUGGUAGUCAUGACUAAAAUCAUAAGGGGUAACACUGUUGUUUUUUAUUGGUCGUUAUGAAAAAAAACAUAAGGGGUAACACUGUUGUUUUUGUCAAAUAAAAUAUAAGGGAUAACACUGUCGUA
ensembl:lncRNA